rnacentral:lncRNA from 1 species
GGUUUUGUGAACAAAAUUUGUUUAUUUGGAGCAAGGUUUUGUGUUGAAGCUUUGUAGGUGAAGCUUUGGUGUUGAAGCUUUGUAGGUGAAGCUUUGUAGAUGAAGCUUUCUAGGUGAAGCUUUGAUGGUGAAGCUUUGUAGAUGAAGCUUUCGAGGUGAAGCUUUGAUGGGUGAAGCUUUGUAGAUGAAGCUUUCUGGGUGAAGCUAUGUAGGUGAAGCUUUGUAGGUGAAGUUUUUUGGCUGUGUAUGAAUAGAUCUAUUGUUUGGAUAUAAGUCAUUGUUUGGUUGUUCCUUUCUUUGUAUAGUCUUGUCGACACAUACUUAGAUUUUGUUUCGUGUUGGAUAUAUCUGCUUUGAGGUUUCAACACUUGAGUGUUCCAUUGCUAGGAAUGUAAAAGAGUGAGGGCCGAGUUGGCUAAAAUUACCUCUUUAUUGAAUUCAUUGCCAAAUGGCCUUCAUUACAUAGGAUGCCGAACGGCUAUAGCUCAACACUUGUACAUCGUGAGUCUAUUUGUAGUAGUACUUCAAGUGAUCAGUGUUCCAUGGAUGGCCAAGGGUCUUGCCAUCGGAGCUUCUAAGUGUGUAAGAGCCAGGGCGACUGAUGCCAAUGACUUCAUACGGUCCACCCCAGUUUGGACUAAGUGUGCCUUCACUCGGGACUCUGUCGCAGAGUAAUCUUUUCUUUAAGACCCAGUCUCCUAUUUUGAAAGAGCGAGGCUUGACCCUAGAGUCAUAAUAGUUGGAGAUGCGCUGCUUGUAGGCGACAUUCCUCAAGUGAGCUUGGUUUCUGUGUUCCUUGACUAAAUCCAAGUUGAGGGUGAGUUGUUUGUCAUUUUCACUUUGAAUGUAGUUCUGGACUCGGAAUGUUGCUUGCUCGAGCUCAAUA